rnacentral:tRNA from 1 species
UGCGCCGUGGGAAAAUUGGCAAUCCGCCUGGUUCUGGCCCAGGAGACUACAGGUUCGAACCCUGUCGGCGCAG